rnacentral:rRNA from 2 species
AUAAUGGGUCAGCGACUUAUAUUCUGUAGCAAGGUUAACCGAAUAGGGGAGCCGAAGGGAAACCGAGUCUUAACUGGGCGUUAAGUUGCAGGGUAUAGACCCGAAACCCGGUGAUCUAGCCAUGGGCAGGUUGAAGGUUGGGUAACACUAACUGGAGGACCGAACCGACUAAUGUUGAAAAAUUAGCGGAUGACUUGUGGCUGGGGGUGAAAGGCCAAUCAAACCGGGAGAUAGCUGGUUCUCCCCGAAAGCUAUUUAGGUAGCGCCUCGUGAAUUCAUCUCCGGGGGUAGAGCACUGUUUCGGCAAGGGGGUCAUCCCGACUUACCAACCCGAUGCAAACUGCGAAUACCGGAGAAUGUUAUCACGGGAGACACACGGCGGGUGCUAACGUCCGUCGUGAAGAGGGAAACAACCCAGACCGCCAGCUAAGGUCCCAAAGUCAUGGUUAAGUGGGAAACGAUGUGGGAAGGCCCAGACAGCCAGGAUGUUGGCUUAGAAGCAGCCAUCAUUUAAAGAAAGCGUAAUAGCUCACUGGUCGAGUCGGCCUGCGCGGAAGAUGUAACGGGGCUAAACCAUGCACCGAAGCUGCGGCAGCGACGCUUAUGCGUUGUUGGGUAGGGGAGCGUUCUGUAAGCCUGCGAAGGUGUGCUGUGAGGCAUGCUGGAGGUAUCAGAAGUGCGAAUGCUGACAUAAGUAACGAUAAAGCGGGUGAAAAGCCCGCUCGCCGGAAGACCAAGGGUUCCUGUCCAACGUUAAUCGGGGCAGGGUGAGUCGACCCCUAAGGCGAGGCCGAAAGGCGUAGUCGAUGGGAAACAGGUUAAUAUUCCUGUACUUGGUGUUACUGCGAAGGGGGGACGGAGAAGGCUAUGUUGGCCGGGCGACGGUUGUCCCGGUUUAAGCGUGUAGGCUGGUUUUCCAGGCAAAUCCGGAAAACUAAGGCUGAGGCGUGAUGACGAGGCACUACGGUGCUGAAGCAACAAAUGCCCUGCUUCCAGGAAAAGCCUCUAAGCAUCAGGUAACAUCAAAUCGUACCCCAAACCGACACAGGUGGUCAGGUAGAGAAUACCAAGGCGCUUGAGAGAACUCGGGUGAAGGAACUAGGCAAAAUGGUGCCGUAACUUCGGGAGAAGGCACGCUGAUAUGUAGGUGAAGCGACUUGCUCGUGGAGCUGAAAUCAGUCGAAGAUACCAGCUGGCUGCAACUGUUUAUUAAAAACACAGCACUGUGCAAACACGAAAGUGGACGUAUACGGUGUGACGCCUGCCCGGUGCCGGAAGGUUAAUUGAUGGGGU